rnacentral:rRNA from 1 species
GACGAACGCUGGCGGCGUGCUUAACACAUGCAAGUCGAACGGUGAAGGAGAGCUUGCUCUCCGGAUCAGUGGCGAACGGGUGAGUAACACGUGGGCAACCUGCCCCAGACUUCGGGAUAACGCUUCGAAAGAGGUGCUAAUACCGGAUACGAACUCCUUGGGCAUCCUUGGAGUUGGAAAGUUUUUCGGUCUGGGAUGGGCCCGCGGCCUAUCAGCUUGUUGGUGAGGUAACGGCUCACCAAGGCGACGACGGGUAGCCGGCCUGAGAGGGCGACCGGCCACACUGGGACUGAGACACGGCCCAGACUCCUACGGGAGGCAGCAGUAGGGAAUCUUGCGCAAUGGGCGAAAGCCUGACGCAGCCAUGCCGCGUGAAUGAUGAAGGUCUUAGGAUUGUAAAAUUCUUUCACCGGGGAAGAUAAUGACGGUACCCGGAGAAGAAGCCCCGGCUAACUUCGUGCCAGCCGCCGCUGUAACAC